rnacentral:rRNA from 1 species
AUUGAACGCUGGCGGCAGGCCUAACACAUGCAAGUCGAGCGGAUGAGGAAAGCUUGCUUUUCGAUUCAGCAGCGGACGGGUGAGUAAUGCCUAGGAAUCUGCCUGUUAGUGGGGGAUAACUCGGGGAAACUCGGGCUAAUACCGCAUACGUCCUACGGGAGAAAGUGGGGGAUCUUCGGACCUCACGCUAACAGAUGAGCCUAGGUCGGAUUAGCUAGUAGGUGAGGUAAUGGCUCACCUAGGCGACGAUCCGUAACUGGUCUGAGAGGAUAAUCAGUCACACUGGAACUGAGACACGGUCCAGACUCCUACGGGAGGCAGCAGUGGGGAAUAUUGGACAAUGGGCGAAAGCCUGAUCCAGCCAUGCCGCGUGUGUGAAGAAGGUCUUCGGAUUGUAAAGCACUUUAAGUUGGGAGGAAGGGUAUUCACCUAAUACGUGGGUACUUUGACGUUACCAACAGAAUAAGCACCGGCUAACUCUGUGCCAGCCGCCGCAGUAAUAC